AAAAAUGGCAUCUCUAAAGCCAAAAAGCUCAUCAAGGAGGAUUUGCACCCACUCAAGAAGUUCAACAAGCUUAUGAAAAGGAUGAUGAAAAAGAAGAUUCACCCGGAAUUCGAAGGAAAGACUCAAAAAGACAUGCAUAUGGAUCCAAGCUAUGGUCUUAGGGACCCCAUAAAUGAUCAAGAUGCAGCCAAUAACGAGUUAGCUUCAUUGCUUCUCAUUCAAGAUGCUAUGAUUUGAGCUGCAUAGAAGAUGAUGAUACAGCAACGGCUCCAAGAAAGUGUAACGAUUACUUGUCAAUCAAGUCUUGUAUAAUAUGCAAUGUAUGAAUUAGGCAUAUGUAUUUAUUUUAUUUUUUUCCCUUUUUUUUAAAAAACAAAACUUAUGUUAAGGUUAUGCUAUUUGUUGUUUAUGGAUGAUUUUAGAGUUUCAUAAGAGGGUUAAAAUUUGUUUAUGUUUUUGAAUGAUUAAUUAACUGCUUAUGUUUAAUUAUGGUUGAAAUUUGAAAAUAACUAUUGCAAGAAAAUGACUCUCCACGUUAUUGCAAGGGCAAUGAUAGUGUCUUAUGAGUUUUUCAUGACAUUAUUUGAAAGUUUUAUGUCCUACUACCAUAAUCAAGAUACAUUUAUGAAAAUAUUAGAAAAUU